AACGAACGCUGGCGGCAGGCCUAACACAUGCAAGUCGAGCGAGAUCUUCGGGUCUAGCGGCGGACGGGUGAGUAACGCGUGGGAAUAUGCCCUUCUCUGCGGAAUAGCCUCGGGAAACUGAGCGUAAUACCGCAUACGCCCUUUGGGGGAAAGAUUUAUCGGGGAAGGAUUAGCCCGCGUUGGAUUAGGUAGUUGGUGGGGUAACGGCCUACCAAGCCGACGAUCCAUAGCUGGUUGGAGAGGAUGAUCAGCCACACUGGGACUGAGACACGGCCCAGACUCCGACGGGAGGCAGCAGUGGGGAAUCUUAGACAAUGAGGGCAACCCUGAUCGAGCCAUGCCGCGUGAGUGAUGAAGGCCUUAGGGUUGUAAAGCUCUUUCAGCUGGGAAGAUAAUGACGGUACCAGCAGAAGAAGCCCCGGCUAACUCCGUG
rnacentral:rRNA from 1 species